rnacentral:rRNA from 1 species
UACGGAGGAUGCAAGCGUUAUCCGGAUUUAUUGGGUUUAAAGGGUGCGCAGGUUGUUUGAUAAGUCAGUGGUGAAAGUCUGUCACUUAACGGUAGGAUUGCCAUUGAUACUGUUGGACUUGAAUAUGGAUGAGGUAGGCGGAAUGUGUAGUGUAGCGGUGAAAUGCAUAGAUAUUACACAGAACACCUAUUGCGAAGGCAGCUUACUAAUCCAUCAUUGACGCUGAGGCACGAAAGCGUGGGGAUCAAACA